rnacentral:rRNA from 1 species
CGCACGGGUGAGUAACACGUGAAUUAUCUACCUCCGAGUUGGGAAUAACUGAGAGAAAUCUUAGCUAAUACCGCAUAACACUUACGAGUCAAAGCAGCAAUGCGCUUGGAGAGGAGUUCGCGGCCGAUUAGUUAGUUGGCGGGGUAAUGGCCCACCAAGGCGAUGAUCAGUAGCCGGCCUGAGAGGGCGCACGGCCACACUGGAACUGAAACACGGUCCAG